GUGCCAGCCGCCGCGGUAAUACAGGGGGUGCAAACGUUGCUCGGAAUUAUUGGGCGUAAAGCGCGCGUAGGCGGUUGCUUAAGUCGGAUGUGAAAGCCCUUGGCUCAACUGAGGAAGUGCAUCCGAAACUGAGCAGCUCGAGUUUGGAAGAGGGUCGCGGAAUUCCCGGUGUAGAGGUGAAAUUCGUAGAUAUCGGGAGGAACACCAGCGGCGAAGGCGGCGACCUGGUCCGAGACUGACGCUGAGGCGCGAAAGCGUGGGGAGCAAACAGGAUUAGAAACCCUCGUAGUCC
rnacentral:rRNA from 1 species